rnacentral:lncRNA from 1 species
CUCCCUCAAACUCUCCUGUUGGGAGAACUUGCAAUGUUCUGAUUCUUGUCUUGCUUGAUUGAGAAAGCAAGCUAGUUGGUGGAUGAGCAGUGGUGUAAAAUGGCAUGCGUAAAUGUCGCUAUAAUAGUUUGGUGCCAACGAAGCUGGUUCAGUAACAUUUUAUUGGUGCAAAUGGUCCUUGUUACAGCAGUGUAGAGCAGUUAAAGCCUGUUAAGAUAAGAAGGUGCAACUGGUUCGCAGAUCUUACAUAUUCUGGACAAGUUUUUGUUGCGCGAUAGCCAUGUAGGACAAUUUGAACCCUACAGUUUUUAAAGGGACUUUUUUACGUAGUAUUAAAUAGAACCAGUCUAAGACAAUACAAAGGAUGCGAGAAGGAUAAGAUUUUGGCUUCCUUUUCUCUACUAUGAAUGCUAUUAAAGGUUUUUUAUAUAAAUAGCGGAAAUGGUUAACAGGUUGACUUUUGAGUGGCAAAUACUUGACCAGCUGAACAAUCAUUUGACAAUGGAGAUCACUGCCACAUUAUCCAUAGCAUAAAAAUGCAUUGGAAGUUCAUUGAAGAAUGUAGCAAUGACUCCACUGCGACAUAGAAUGACAAUAUCUAAACUCUAAAUAAAUAGCAUUAUUCAGUCAAGCCACAAAAUGAGCCUUACAAUAUAGGGAUGUUAAUA